rnacentral:rRNA from 1 species
AGAGUUUGAUCAUGGCUCAGAACGAACGCUGGCGGCAGGCUUAACACAUGCAAGUCGAACGCACUCUUCGGAGUGAGUGGCAGACGGGUGAGUAACGCGUGGGAACGUACCCUUCGGUUCGGAAUAACCCAGGGAAACUUGGGCUAAUACCGGAUACGUCCGCAAGGAGAAAGAUUUAUCGCCGAAGGAUCGGCCCGCGUCGGAUUAGCUAGUUGGUGAGGUAAUGGCUCACCAAGGCGACGAUCCGUAGCUGGUCUGAGAGGAUGAUCAGCCACACUGGGACUGAGACACGGCCCAGACACCUACGGGUGGCAGCAGUUUCGAAUCAUUCACAAUGGGCGAAAGCCUGAUGGUGCGACGCCGCGUGAGGGAUGAAGGCCUUCGGGUUGUAAACCUCUGUCACCGGGGAAGAAACGCUUCAAGUUAAUAGUUUGAAGCCUGACUUAACCCGGAGAGGAAGCAGUGGCUAACUCUGUGCCAGCAGCCGCGGUAAUACAGAGACUGCAAGCGUUAUUCGGAUUCACUGGGCGUAAAGGGUGCGCAGGCGGCCGUGUGUGUGAGGCGUGAAAGCCCGGGGCUUAACCCCGGAAUUGCACCUCAAACUACAUGGCUAGAGCAUUGGAGAGGGUAGCAGAAUUCACGGUGUAGCAGUGAAAUGCGUAGAUAUCGUGAGGAAUACCAGAGGCGAAGGCGGCUACCUGGACAAUUGCUGACGCUCAGGCACGAAAGCGUGGGGAGCAAAAGGGAUUAGAUACCCCAGUAGUCC